AAAAAUUUAAGUUAAAAAAACUAUAAACCUUCAAAGUUUAAAAUGAAAUAUCAAUUUUUG
rnacentral:tRNA from 1 species